AUUGAACGCUGGCGGCAUGCUUUACACAUGCAAGUCGAACGGUAACAGGCCGCAAGUUGCUGACGAGUGGCGAACGGGUGAGUAAUGCAUCGGAACGUGCCCAGUCGUGGGGGAUAACUACUCGAAAGAGUAGCUAAUACCGCAUACGAUCUAUGAAUGAAAGCGGGGGACCGUAAGGCCUCGCGCGAGUGGAGCGGCCGAUGUCAGAUUAGGUAGUUGGUGGGGUAAAGGCUCACCAAGCCAACGAUUUGUAGCUGAUCUGAGAGGACGAUCAGCCACACUGGGACUGAGACACGGCCCAGACUCCUACGGGAGGCAGCAGUGGGGAAUUUUGGACAAUGGGCGAAAGCCUGAUCCAGCAAUGCCGCGUGCAGGAAGAAGGCCUUCGGGUUGUAAACUGCUUUUGUACGGAAAGAAACGGCUCUGGUUAAUACCCGGGGAUAAUGACGGUACCGUAAGAAUAAGCACCGGCUAACUACGUG
rnacentral:rRNA from 1 species